rfam:Triticum aestivum genome assembly, contig: Triticum_aestivum_CS42_TGACv1_scaffold_404373_5BL
CUUCUACUCCCUCCGUUCGGAAUUACUUGUCUUAGAAAUGAAUGUAUCUAGAAUUAAAAUAAAUCUAGAUACAUUCAUUUUCGCGACAAGUAAUUCCGAACGGAGGGAGUAUAUU